AUGGCAGCUCCGAGAGCGCUCGUCCUCGCCGUCCUGCUCGUGAUUGCCAUCGCCAACGCGGAGGCGACGUCGGUGGUCAUCGGCCUGGCCAAGUGCGCCGACUGCACCAGGAAGAACAUGAAGGCCGGGGAAGCCUUCAAGGCGUGCCCCUCGCUUCUGACCUCCAUGGCGCCGACUGCGUGGCUCAGCUCCAUAGCGCCGUGCCCCGGCCAGGAGCCAUCCAAGAUCGUGCCGGUGUCCGAGGGCACCACCUUCGGUGUCAUCGCCGGCGCCAACACCGCCACGCCAUCCGUGGGGUCGCCCGAGUGUGCGUCCAUGACCCUGUGCGGGCCGAUCAAGCAGCACAUCAUCGAGCACUUCCACCACAAGAAGCCGGUGCCACCGAAGCCGGAGCCCAAGCCCCAGCCUCACCCGGACUACCACCCCGUGCCCAAGCCGGAGCCGAAGCCGCAGCCCCACCCAGACUACCACCCCGUCCCUCCCAUGCCCACUUACGGCGGCGGCGGUGGCGGUGGAUACCACGGACACCACUGA
rnacentral:rRNA from 1 species